rnacentral:rRNA from 1 species
UACAGAGGUCUCAAGCGUUGUUCGGAUUCAUUGGGCGUAAAGGGUGCGUAGGCGGCGCGGUAAGUCGGGUGUGAAAUCUCGGGGCUUAACUCCGAAACUGCAUUCGAUACUGCCGUGCUUGAGGACUGGAGAGGAGACUGGAAUUUACGGUGUAGCGGUGAAAUGCUUAGAUAUGACAUAGAACACCAAUUGCGAAGGCAGCUCACUACACGAAUAUUGACACUGAGGCACGAAAGCGUGGGGAUCAAACAGG